rnacentral:rRNA from 1 species
GAAAGUAGGGGGGAGAGAGCGGGGGAAUACGGGGGGAUGGAGGGUGGUCCGGGGUCAUAGGGCGUAAAAAGGUCGUAGGCGGCGUGGUAAGUCGGAUGGAAAACAUCCAGGCUCAGCCUGGAGUCGCCAGCCGAUACGGCGAUGGCUAGAGUCCGGUAGGGGCCCACGGAAUGCCUGGUGUAGCGGUGAAAUGCGCAGAUAUCAGGAGGAACACCGGUGGCGAAGGCGGUGGGCUGGGCCGGCACUGACGCUGAGGAGCGAAAGCGUGGGGAGCGAACAGGAUUAGAUACCCGGGUAGUC